rnacentral:tRNA from 1 species
AUAUCCUUAGCUCAGUUGGUAGAGCAUGGCGCUUCACAUGCCAGGGUUGUGGGUUCAAUGCCCACGGGGGACC